UACGAACCGUGCGAACGUUGUUCGGAUUCACUGGGCUUAAAGGGCGCGUAGGCGGACAAUCAAGUCAGGGGUGAAAGCCUCCAGCUCAACUGGAGAAGUGCCUUUGAUACUGACUGUCUCGAGGGAGGUAGGGGCAUGUGGAACUUCCGGUGGAGCGGUGAAAUGCGUAGAUAUCGGAAGGAACGCCGGUGGCGAAAGCGACGUGCUGGACCUCUUCUGACGCUGAGGCGCGAAAGCUAGGGGAGCAAACGGG
rnacentral:rRNA from 1 species